ACCCAGCUGACGAGUCCCAAAUCGAACGAAACGCGUGUCUUGAAU
rnacentral:hammerhead_ribozyme from 1 species